UACGGGGGGGGCAAGCGUUGUUCGGAUUUACUGGGCGUAAAGGGCGCGUAGGCGGCUUUUCAAGUCGGGCGUGAAAUCUCCAGGCUUAACCUGGAAGGGUCGUUCGAUACUGUUAAGCUAGAGUGUGGAAGAGGCUACUGGAAUUCCGUGUGUAGCGGUGAAAUGUGUUGAUAUCGGAAGGAACGCCGGUGGCGAAAGCGACACACUGGAUCUUGUCUGACGCUGAGGCACGAAAGCCAGGGGAGCGAACGGG
rnacentral:rRNA from 1 species